rnacentral:rRNA from 2 species
AAGUCGAACGAGUUUUGGUCGAUGAACGGUGCUUGCACUGAGAUUCGACUUAAAACGAGUGGCGGACGGGUGAGUAACACGUGGGUAACCUGCCCUUAAGUGGGGGAUAACAUUUGGAAACAGAUGCUAAUACCGCAUAAAUCCAAGAACCGCAUGGUUCUUGGCUGAAAGAUGGCGCAAGCUAUCGCUUUUGGAUGGACCCGCGGCGUAUUAGCUAGUUGGUGAGGUAACGGCUCACCAAGGCGAUGAUACGUAGCCGAACUGAGAGGUUGAUCGGCCACAUUGGGACUGAGACACGGCCCAAACUCCUACGGGAGGCAGCAGUAGGGAAUCUUCCACAAUGGACGCAAGUCUGAUGGAGCAACGCCGCGUGAGUGAAGAAGGCUUUCGGGUCGUAAAACUCUGUUGUUGGAGAAGAAUGGUCGGCAGAGUAACUGUUGUCGGCGUGACGGUAUCCAACCAGAAAGCCACGGCUAACUACGUGCCAGCAGCCGCGGUAAUACGUAGUGGCAAGCGUUAUCCGGAUUUAUUGGGCGUAAAGCGAGCGCAGGCGGUUUUUUAAUCUGAUGUGAAAGCCCUCGGCUUAACCGAGGAAGCGCAUCGGAAACUGGGAAACUUG